rnacentral:lncRNA from 1 species
UUUGUACACCCGGUAAGUCGAAAACCCGCAAGGGCGGCUUAGGCAAAAAUGGGUAUCCCGGUGGAUUGAAAACCCGAAAGGGCGAUCCAGACAAAAGUUAGGGAUUAAAGCGAAGACUACAGUCUGAGUUGUCUGUACUUCAUCAAGCUUUAUCAUCUGCCAUCUCGAAAGAUAUGAUCUGUCCAGUCAUUCUUCUCAGAAAGCAAGGAGUUGGGAGGAAAACUGAUGAUCUGUGAGUUAUAACAGAAUUGGGAAAUAGUGG